GGUAUGAUUUGGUAACCUGAGAGUUAUAACCCACAUAUGAGUUACAAUAAAAAAUGCAUUUGAACAAAAUUAAAUACAUUGUAUCCUAACACUCCUCAAUACCUGUCUUAACUGUUAAUUGCGUCCAUCUCAAAACCAAAUCGACAGUACUAACUAAAAAACUACGAAAAAAUUUAAAACAAAACAUUCACCACCCCAGCUGUCUUUACCAAAGAAACUAAGAAAUCGAAAAACAUCAACUAAUAUAUAACAGACCUGAUUAGUACUUGAUGGAAACAUCAAACUGAGACUGAUAGCUAUACGACAGAGAUGAACGAGACUCUGGGACCAAUGUUGUUGAAGUUGUUCAUGUUUUGCAACUCCCACUCUGAAAUUAUACCGAUGGGUGCGGCUGUACUAUAAUAAUGAGGAUGUGGUCGUCCUUUCUUGAUGAUUUGACUGGGGUACUGGCCGACCCAUUGCCCUUGAAAUACGAAUUUUUGUCGUUGUCCGUCAAAAUCAGAUUACAGACCCGAUUCUCCACCUGAUUUCCAAGCUCCGAAGAUGACAUCAUCGCGGUUGGAGCUGUUGU
rnacentral:lncRNA from 1 species